GAUGAACGCUGGCGGCGUGCCUAAUACAUGCAAGUCGAACGCAUAGCGAAAGGUGCUUGCCCCUUUCACGUGAGUGGCGAACGGGUGAGUAACACGUGGACAACCUGCCUCAAGGCUGGGGAUAACAUUUGGAAACAGAUGCUAAUACCGAAUAAAACUUAGUGUCGCAUGACACAAAGUUAAAAGGCGCUUCGGCGUCACCUAGAGAUGGAUCCGCGGUGCAUUAGUUAGUUGGUGGGGUAAAGGCCUACCAAGACAAUGAUGCAUAGCCGAGUUGAGAGACUGAUCGGCCACAUUGGGACUGAGACACGGCCCAAACUCCUACGGGAGGCUGCAGUAGGGAAUCUUCCACAAUGGGCGAAAGCCUGAUGGAGCAACGCCGCGUGUGUGAUGAAGGCUUUCGGGUCGUAAAGCACUGUUGUAUGGGAAGAACAGCUAGAAUAGGAAAUGAUUUUAGUUUGACGGUACCAUACCAGAAAGGGACGGCUAAAUACGUG
rnacentral:rRNA from 1 species